GACGAACGCUGGCGGCGUGGAUUAGGCAUGCAAGUCGCGCGACGGUCUUCCUUCGGGGAGAUACGGAGCGGCGAACGGGCGAGUAACACGUGAGGAACCUGUCCCUACUUUCCGGAUAAUUGGCCGAAAGGCCUUGUAAUACGGGGGAGGGUCUUUGGUGGGCAUCCACUAAAGAAGGAAGGCGCAAGCCGAGCAGGGAGGGUCUCGCGGCCUAUCAGCUUGUUGGUGGGGUAAAGGCCUACCAAGGCGACGACGGGUAGCUGGUCUGAGAGGACGACCAGCCACACUGGAACUGAGACACGGUCCG
rnacentral:rRNA from 1 species